rnacentral:rRNA from 1 species
GAUGAACGCUGGCGGCGUGCCUAAUUCAUGCAAGUCGAGCGAACAGACGAGGAGCUUGCUCCUCUGACGUUAGCGGCGGACGGGUGAGUAACACGUGGAUAACUUACCUAUAAGACUGGGAUAACUUCGGGAAACCGGAGCUAAUACCGGAUAAUAUAUUGAACCGCAUGGUUCAAUAGUGAAAGACGGUUUUGCUGUCACUUAUAGAUGGAUCCGCGCCGCAUUAGCUAGUUGGUAAGGUAACGGCUUACCAAGGCAACGAUGCGUAGCCGACCUGAGAGGGUGAUCGGCCACACUGGAACUGAGACACGGUCCAGACUCCUACGGGAGGCAGCAGUAGGGAAUCUUCCGCAAUGGGCGAAAGCCUGACGGAGCAACGCCGCGUGAGUGAUGAAGGUCUUCGGAUCGUAAAACUCUGUUAUUAGGGAAGAACAAAUGUGUAAGUAACUAUGCACGUCUUGACGGUACCUAAUCAGAAAGCCACGGCUAACUACGUG